GAAACGACUCUCGGCAAUGGAUAUCUCGGCUCUCGCAUCGAUGAAGAGCGCAGCGAAAUGCGAUACGUGGUGCGAAUUGCAGAAUCCCGCGAAC
rnacentral:rRNA from 10 species